AUUGAACGCUGGCGGCAGGCCUAACACAUGCAAGUCGAGCGAGCGACGGACGGGUGAGUAAUGUCUGGGAAACUGCCUGAUGGAGGGGGAUAACUACUGGAAACGUUCGCUAAUACCGCAUACCAUCAGAUGUGCCCAGAUGGGAUUAGCUAGUAGGGGGGGUAACGGCUCACCUAGGCGACGAUCCCUAGCUGGUCUGAGAGGAUGACCAGCCAGACUGGAACGGAGACACGGUCCAGACUCCUACGGGAGGCAGCAGGGGGGAAUAUUGGACAAUGGGCGCACGCCUGAUGCAGCCAUGCCGCGUGUGUGAAGAAGGCCUUCGGGUUGUAAAGCACUUUCAGCGGGGAGGCGUUACCCGCAGAAGAAGCACCGGCGAACUCCGUGCCAGCAGCCGCGGUAAUUC
rnacentral:rRNA from 1 species